rnacentral:rRNA from 1 species
AUUCCGGUUGAUCCUGCCGGAGGCCAUUGCUAUCGGAGUCCGAUUUAGCCAUGCUAGUCGCACGAGUUCAGACUCGUGGCAUAUAGCUCAGUAACACGUGGCCAAACUACCCUACAGACCGCGAUAACCUCGGGAAACUGAGGCCAAUAGCGGAUAUCACUUUCAGACUGGAGUGUCGAGAGUGAGAAACGUUCCGGCGCUGUAGGAUGUGGCUGCGGCCGAUUAGGUAGAUGGUGGGGUAACGGCCCACCAUGCCGAUAAUCGGUACGGGUUGUGAGAGCAAGAACCCGGAGACGGUAUCUGAGACAAGAUACCGGGCCCUACGGGGCGCAGCAGGCGCGAAACCUUUACACUGCACGACAGUGCGAUAGGGGGACUCCGAGUGCGAGGGCAUAUAGCCCUCGCUUUUCUGUACCGUAAGGUGGUACAGGAACAAGGACUGGGCAAGACCGGUGCCAGCCGCCGCGGUAAUACCGGCAGUCCAAGUGAUGGCCGAUAUUAUUGGGCCUAAAGCGUCCGUAGC